rnacentral:ncRNA from 2 species
UCUUUAUCAAGAGUGGUGGAGGGACAGGCCCUGCGAAGCCACAGCAACCGAUCCGCCGUAGCGUUACGCGAAGGUGGGUGUCAGGUGCUAAAUCCUUCCCGUCGAUGCAUUGCAAAGAUGGGAAAGAUGGGGA